rnacentral:rRNA from 1 species
GACGAACGCUGGCGGCGUGCCUAAUACAUGCAAGUCGAACGCAGUGGGGACGGGUGAGUAACACGUGGGUAACCUCCCAUCAGAGGGGAUAACACUUGGAAACAGGUGCUAAACCGAUACUGAUGGAUGGACCCGCGGUGCAUUAGCUAGUUGGUGAGGUAACGGCUCACCAAGGCGACGAUCUCUAGCUGGUGUGGGAGGAUGACGAGCCAAACGGGGACUGGGAAACGGCCCGGACUCCUACGGGAGGCAGCAGUGGGAAAUAUUGCACAAGGGGCGCAGGCCUGAUGCAGCCAUGCCGCGUGUAUGAAGAAGGCCUUAGGGUUGUAAAGUACUUUCAGCGGGGAGGCGUUACCCGCAGAAGAAGCACCGGCUAACUCCGUGCCAGCCGCCGCGGUAAUAC